UCGUUCUUAUGUUGUUCGCCGGUUGUUACCCUAAACCAGUGAUUGUCAAGAAGAACGUAAAGUAAAAACCAGGCAGCUAUUCACUCCAUAAUGUUGAGCCGUCAUUCCAGGGCUUCUGCAUUACUAAAUGUAUGCCACAUUC